CACUCCUGCGGGAGGCAGCAGUGGGGAAUAUUGGACAAUGGGCGCAAGCCUGAUCCAGCCAUGCCGCGUGAGUGAUGAAGGCCCUAGGGUUGUAAAGCUCUUUCACCGGUGAAGAUAAUGACGGUAACCGGAGAAGAAGCCCCGGCUAACUUCGUGCCAGCAGCCGCGGUAAUACGAAGGGGGCUAGCGUUGUUCGGAUUUACUGGGCGUAAAGCGCACGUAGGCGGACUAUUAAGUCAGGGGUGAAAUCCCGGGGCUCAACCCCGGAACUGCCUUUGAUACUGGUAGUCUUGAGUUCGAGAGAGGUGAGUGGAAUUCCGAGUGUAGAGGUGAAAUUCGUAGAUAUUCGGAGGAACACCAGUGGCGAAGGCGGCUCACUGGCUCGAUACUGACGCUGAGGUGCGAAAGCGUGGGGAGCAAACAGGAUUAGAUACCCGGGUAGUCCC
rnacentral:rRNA from 1 species